AGUAUUACUCUGAGAAGAUUAAUACUAUCUUUCUCCUCCUCUUCCCCGUUUUUUUUUCUCCCCCAGUGAAGGUGAAGUCGUAACAAGGUUUCCGUAGGUGAACCUGCGGACRGAUCAUUACCACACCAUAAAACUUUCCACGUGAACCGUUGAAAUCAUGUUCUGUGCUCUCUCUCGGGAGGGCUGAACGAAGGUGGGCUGCUUAAUUGUGGUCUGCCGAUGUAUUUUUCAAACCCAUUUACCUAAUACUGAUCUAUACUCCAAAAACGAAAGUUUCUGGUUUUAAUCCAUAACAACUUUCAGCAGUGGAUGUCUAGGCUCGCACAUCGAUGAAGAACGCUGCGAACUGCGAUACGUAAUGCGAAUUGCAGAAUUCAGUGAGUCAUCGAAAUUUUGAACGCACAUUGCACUUUCGGGUUAUGCCUGGAAGUAUGCCUGUAUCAGUGUCCGUACAUCAAACUUGCCUUUCUUUUUCUGUGUAGUCAGGGAGAGAGAUGGCAGAAUGUGAGGUGUCUCGUUGACUCCCUUUUCGGAGGAGAAGACGCGAGUCCCUUUAAAUGUACGUUCGCUCUUUCUUGUGUCUAAGAUGAAGUGUGAUUCUCGAAUCGCAGUGAUCUGUUUGGAUCGCUUUGCGCAUUUGGGCGACUUCGGUUAGGACAUUAAAGGAAGCAACCUCUAUUGGCGGUAUGUUAGGCUUCGGCCCGACGUUGCAGCUGACGGAGUGUGGUUUUCUGUUCUUUCCUUGAGGUGUACCUGAUUUGUGUGAGGCAAUGGUCUGGGCAAAUGGUUGCUGUGUAGUAGGGUUUUGCUGCUCUUGGGCGCCCUGUUUUCGGAUAGGGUAAAGAAGGCAACACCAAUUUGGGACUGUUUGCUUUUAGCAGACAAUUUUCUAAUUGGACCUGAUAUCAGGUAASAUUACCCGCUGAACUUAAGCAUAUCAAUAAACCGGAGGAAAAAUA
rnacentral:rRNA from 1 species